AAGAGGAUGGUGUAAUAUCGACUACAUCGACACUAGGAACAAAAAAACAUUGACAUCGACUAUAUCGACACUUUUGUUAUGUUUUUAUGUUCAGGUCGAGGAUAAUUUAGAAUUGGUUCCAAUUUUGUACUCUCAAUGGACAAGCCAUUCUCGUUCAGUAAAUAUCCAAGGUACCUAACUUGUUUGCGCAGGAAGCGACUUUUCUCAACGGAAAUAGUCAGUCCAGCAUGUUUAAGUCUGGAAGCUACAAUCUGUAGUAAACGGAAGUGAUCUUCAAGCGUUUCGGUAGCAAUUAUAACAUCGUCCAAAUAAAUAAAAACGUUUGGCUCUAAAUCAAACCCUAUGGCUAGGUUCAUUAACCUGCUCAUAGUGAAAGGUGCAUUCUUGAGUCCAAAUGGAACAACCUUGAAUCUGUACAACCCUUUGGGUGUUCGGAAUGCUGUAUAGUUCCUGGAUAUUUCUUCGAGAGACGGUGGAAUAUUUCGGUCAUAUUACGCAUAGGGUAAGCGUCUUUCUUCGUGAUCGAGUUUAUUUUACGUGAAUCGAGGCAAACGCGGAUCUUCCCAUUGGCUUUCUUGACGGGCACUAGAGGACUUGCCAUUUCUGCAGUGCACUCUUCAAUAACGUCCAGAGUUUUCCAGCGUUCCAGUUCUGGUUCUAUUUUCUCCCACAUUUUGGACUUUCUUCAAUGACACUGCAUAGCUUGUUUUUGAGCGUCUCUUGGCUCUCAUCACUCGUAGAGGCACAUGCUGCCCGGAUUAGAUAAUGGCGCAAUCUCGAGAUAAGCGCACGGUCAAAUUUCCUCUUCAACGUUUCUGUUAUUGAACAGACAUUGGAUUCGAUUGUUUUAGAUUCAUCUCUAAUAUUGUAAGUACCACGAUGUUCUAUUUGCUCUUUUUUCUCUUCAAUAAAUAAUCUUCUUAAAAGUCUCUUUUUAUCUUCUAGAUGUUCACGAGGAUCGAUAGUUUGUCGUCUAAGACGAAGCUCAAAAUUAAUUUCAUCUUCAGUGAGAUGAUCCGCUACUGGUAAAAUAUAAGGACCACUCAUCUUGGACACUUCAAAAAUUCAGUUCAAACGAUUAGAAAUCCAAUUAAAAUUUACUCUUUGGAAAAUAAUUCAGAACGUAGGAAAAAAUAUAUUCUUAAAGCUAAAAAUAAUAGAAUAAUAGAUUUAAAAAAAGAAAAAUGAGAAAGC